rnacentral:miRNA from 1 species
CCGAAGGGCUGGCAGGGAUUGGGA